rnacentral:rRNA from 1 species
UACGUAGGUGGCAAGCGUUAUCCGGAAUUAUUGGGCGUAAAGCGCGCGUAGGCGGUUUUUUAAGUCUGAUGUGAAAGCCCACGGCUCAACCGUGGAGGGUCAUUGGAAACUGGAAAACUUGAGUGCAGAAGAGGAAAGUGGAAUUCCAUGUGUAGCGGUGAAAUGCGCAGAGAUAUGGAGGAACACCAGUGGCGAAGGCGACUUUCUGGUCUGUAACUGACGCUGAUGUGCGAAAGCGUGGGGAUCAAA